UCAGAUCCCGGUAGUCGACACACAUCCAUACCUUUCCAUCCUUCUUAGGUACUGGAACGAUAUUUGCAACCCACGGCGGAUAGUUGGUAACCGCUAGAAAUCCUGCAUCCAACUGUUUUUGCACUUCUUCCUUUAUCUUGACAGCCAUCUCUGGUCUUGUUCGUCUAAGCUUCUGCUUGACCGGAGGACAACCCUCUUUGAGAGGCAAACGGUGUACCACAAUGUCUGUGUCGAGCCCUGGCAUAUCCUGAUAAGACCAAGCGAAGAUGUCGACAUACUCU
rnacentral:lncRNA from 1 species